AGUAAAUAGAUACCCCGGUAGUCCACGCCGUAAACGAUGUUGACUUGGAGGUUGUGCCCUUGAGGCGUGGCUUCCGGAGCUAAACGCGUUAAAGUCGACCGCCUGGGGAGUACGGCCGCAAGGUUAAAACUCAAAUGAAUUGACGGGGGCCCGCACAAGCGGUGGAGCAUGUGGUUUAAUUCGAUGCAACGCGAAGAACCUUACCUACUCUUGACAUCCAGAGAACUUUCCAGAGAUGGAUUGGUGCCUUCGGGAACUCUGAGACAGGUGCUGCAUGGCUGUCGUCGGCUCGUGUUGUGAAAUGUUGGGUUAAGUCCCGCAACGAGCGCAACCCUUAUCCUUUGUUGCCAGCGGUUAGGCCGGGAACUCAAAGGAGACUGCCAGUGAUAAACUGGAGGAAGGUGGGGAUGACGUCAAGUCAUCAUGGCCCUUACGAGUAGGGCUACACACGUGCUACAAUGGCGCAUACAAAGAGAAGCGACCUCGCGAGAGCAAGCGGACCUCAUAAAGUGCGUCGUAGUCCGGAUUGGAGUCUGCAAC
rnacentral:rRNA from 1 species